rnacentral:rRNA from 1 species
UGGGGAAUUUUGGACAAUGGGCGCAAGCCUGAUCCAGCAAUGCCGCGUGCAGGAUGAAGGCCUUCGGGUUGUAAACCGCUUUUGUCAGGGAAGAAACGAGUUUCUCUAAUACAGAGACUUAAUGACGGUACCGUAAGAAUAAGCACCGGCUAACUACGUGCCAGCAGCCGCGGUAAUACGUAGGGUGCGAGCGUUAAUCGGAAUUACUGGGCGUAAAGCGUGCGCAGGCGGUUAUAUAAGACAGAUGUGAAAUCCCCGGGCUCAACCUGGGACCUGCAUUUGUGACUGUAUAGCUAGAGUACGGUAGAGGGGGAUGGAAUUCCGCGUGUAGCAGUGAAAUGCGUAGAUAUGCGGAGGAACACCGAUGGCGAAGGCAAUCCCCUGGACCUGUACUGACGCUCAUGCACGAAAGCGUGGGGAGCAAACA